rnacentral:rRNA from 1 species
GACGAACGCUGGCGGCGUGCUUAACACAUGCAAGUCGAACGGAAAGACCCUGCUUUUGUGGGGUGCUCGAGCGGCGAACGGGUGAGUAACACGUGAGUAACCUGCCCUUGACUUUGGGAUAACUUCAGGAAACUGGGGCUAAUACCGGAUAGGAGCUCCUGCUGCAUGGUGGGGGUUGGAAAGUUUCGGCGGUUGGGGAUGGACUCGCGGCUUAUCAGCUUGUUGGUGGGGUAGUGGCUUACCAAGGCUUUGACGGGUAGCCGGCCUGAGAGGGUGACCGGCCACAUUGGGACUGAGAUACGGCCCAGACUCCUACGGGAGGCAGCAGUGGGGAAUAGUGCACAAUGGGCGGAAGCCUGAUGCAGCAACGCCGCGUGCGGGAUGACGGCCUUCGGGUUGUAAACCGCUUUCGCCUGUGACGAAGCGUGAGUGACGGUAAUGGGUAAAGAAGCACCGGCUAACUACGUG